UAUUUUUUAUUUUCUCCAUUAUCGUUUGCUCCCUUCUCUAACGUUUUUUAUUUUCUCAUGGGUCUAAAUGAUUUUUUUGAGCAUGUAACCAAUCAAAAUCUCUGAUGGAUCCUUUGCCUGAUCAUGUGAACAAAGCCUUCCCUCAGGUAAGCCAACUUGAAAGAAAGCUCACAGUGAACCAGGAUGGAAAGAAGCAAUUAUCUAGAACAUUGGGUUUCAAAGUCUCUGGCAACCAUUUAAUACGUUUCUCCGCUCAAUUUUUUGAUUUCUUACAGUUUCUUUUUGUCUUCUCCAGUUGUUGUGUUUGUUUGGUUGCAGCUCCGAUUGUUAUGCAUGUUCGUUGCAUUCAGAACAUUGAGAACCAAGAUUCUAAGGUUCACUGUUCCUUUUUGGUUGUGAGUUUUUUCACCUAAUUUGGGUGGGUUGCUUUGGAGCUGAAUUUUAAGCUUUUUUUAAGUUAAUUUUAUCUGUUGUUGGGUUUUUUUAAUAAUAAUUUUCUGCUUUGGAGCUAUGGAGAUCUGUGGUGGGUUUGUUCCGUCUCUUUUUCAUGCUCUUUCUCUAUCAUUCGCUCCUGUUAACAGCGAGAGAAUUCAUGUGUCUUCUCUUUUUAUCAUUUUGAUUGGCUUUGUUCUCAUUGCUUCUAUGUUCCUGAAUGAAAUUUCAGGGCGACUCUUGACUCAUGAUAGUGUUUGCGUGUCUUGCUGCUGCUGCUGAUUUAUUUUUUAGUAAUUUGAGGGGUGACUCAUGGUGUUUGUUUUAGCAUUGAAAUUCAAAUAUUUACCCAGUACAUGCAAAUUCAGAGGGUCCAGUAGCUUAUGCAGAGCUAGAAAAAGACGUAAUGGAGCUGACUUGGCAGCGAGACCUUGCACAUGCUCACGUUGAAGAUCUGCUGCAAGCAGCUGAAGAUGAUGAACCUUUCAAGUCAUCAAGAGACUAUGGCUAUGGCAGUGCUGGGAUAAAAUAAGAACUCUCACAACUCAAACAAGGACUUCAAUUUUGAAAAGAGAACGCAGAAUGAAAGAGACACGUUGAUAAAUGCUUUAAGCUUGUUGGAUACCUGUAGAUUAUAAAGUUCAGAAUAAAAGGCACAAACAAGGAUUUCCAAACUUCACUGAAAAGAGAAACAUCAGUUCAAGUGGAGUCUACUAUGCAAAACAAUCAAGAAACUGGACUUCAAUUAUCAAGAGACCAAUGCCAACAGUUACAUGCCUACCUUAAUGUAAACAUGGAAUAGGAACUGCUUCCAACAAUCACAUUGCUGUUGUUUCAGUAGUGGGACGUAAUUUUUCAUUAAAGCAUAAUUGGAUAUAGAUAUAGGUGCGCUUCAGAUCAUGUAGUAUGCAUGCAUGAUCACUUCCAUAAACAUAAAAAACUACAUAAUGCAUAUGUGACAUUGCCAAAUGGA